UACAGAGGGUGCAAGCGUUUAAUCGGAAUUACUGGGCGUAAAGGGUGCGUAGGUGGUUGAAUAAGUUAGGUGUGAAAGUCCUGGCUUAACCUGGGGAUUGCGCCUAAUACUGUUUAGCUAGAGUACUGUAGAGGAAGGUGGAAUUUCCAGUGUAGCGGUGAAAUGCGUAGAUAUUGGAAGGAACAUCAGUGGCGAAGGCGACUUUCUGGACAGAUACUGACACUGAGGCACGGAAAGCGUGGGGAGCAAACAGG
rnacentral:rRNA from 1 species